CGAGGGGUAACAGAUCUUCGGAUGCUGACGACCGGCGAACGGGUGAGUAACACGUAUGCAACUUACCCAUAACUCGGGAAUAGCCCAAAGAAAUUUGGAUUAAUACCCAAUAAUACAGGCGUACCGCAUGGUAUUCUUCGUUAAAGAAUAAUCGGUUAUGGAUAGGCAUGCGUUCUAUUAGGUAGUUGGUGAGGUAACGGCUCACCAAGCCGACGAUGGAUAGGGGAACUGAGAGGUUGUCCCCCCACACUGGUACUGAGACACGGACCAGACUCCUACGGGAGGCAGCAGUGAGGAAUAUUGGUCAAUGGACGAAAGUCUGAACCAGCCAAAUCGCGUGAAGGAAGAAGGUAUUAUGUAUCGUAAACUUCUUUUGUAAGAGAGUAAAGUGCACUACGUGUAGUGUAUUGCAAGUACCUUACGAAUAAGCAUCGGCUAAUUCCGUGCCAGCAGCCGCGGUAAUACGGAAGAUGCAAGUGUUAUCCGGAUUUAUUGGGUUUAAAGGGUGCGUAGGUGGUCUAAUAAGUCAGUGGUGAAAUCUCUUUGCUUAACAAGGAAAUUGCCAUUGAAACUGUUAGACUUGAGAAUGGACGAGGUAGGCGGAAUUCGUAGUGUAGCGGUGAAAUGCAUAGAUAUUACGAAGAACUCCAAUAGUGUAGACUGCUUUACCAGACCAUAUCUGACACUAAGGCACGAAAGUGUGGGUAUCAAACAGGAUUAGAUACCCUGGGUAGUCCACACAGUAAACGAUGAAUACUAACUGUUUGCGAUAUACAGCAAGUGGUCGAGCGAAAACCGUUAAGUAUUCCACCUGGGAAGUAUGCCGCAACGGUGAAACUCAAAGAAAUUGACAGGGGGCCCGCAUAAAGCAGAGGGAUAUGUGGUUUACUUCAAUAAUACGCAAGGAACCUCACCCUGGCUCCAAC
rnacentral:rRNA from 1 species